UACGAAGGGGGCUAGCGUUGUUCGGAAUCAUUGGGCGUAAAGCGCGUGUAGGCGGUCCGGUAAGUCCGCUGUGAAAGUCGAGGGCUCAACCCUCGAAUGCCGGUGGAUACUGUCGGGCUAGAGUGCGGAAGAGGCGAGUGGAAUUCCUGGUGUAGCGGUGAAAUGCGCAGAUAUCAGGAGGAACACCUAUUGCGAAGGCAGCUCGCUGGGACGUUACUGACGCUGAGACGCGAAAGCGUGGGGAGCAAACAGG
rnacentral:rRNA from 1 species